UACGUAGGGUGCAAGCGUUGUCCGGAAUUAUUGGGCGUAAAGAGCUCGUAGGCGGUUUGUCGCGUCUGCUGUGAAAACUCGGGGCUUAACCCCGGGCCUGCAGUGGGUACGGGCAGACUAGAGUGCGGUAGGGGAGACUGGAAUUCCUGGUGUAGCGGUGAAAUGCGCAGAUAUCAGGAGGAACACCGGUGGCGAAGGCGGGUCUCUGGGCCGCUACUGACGCUGAGGAGCGAAAGCGUGGGGAGCGAACAGG
rnacentral:rRNA from 1 species